rnacentral:rRNA from 1 species
UGCCAGCAGCCGCGGUAAUACGGAGGUUGCAAGCGUUAUUCGGAUUAACUGGGCGUAAAGCGUACGUAGGCGGUCUGGACAGUCUGAUGUGAAAGCCCACGACUCAAUCGUGGAAGUGCAUUGGAUACUACCAGACUAGAGUGUCGGAGGGGAGAACGGAAUUCCUGGUGUAGAGGUGAAAUUCGUAGAUAUCAGGAGGAACAACGGCGGCGAAGGCGGUUCUCUGGACGACAACUGACGCUGAGGUACGAAAGCGUGGGGAGCAAACAGGAUUAGAUA